rnacentral:rRNA from 1 species
CUGGAGUAAUACCGUAUGUGGUCGAGAGACGAAAGAUUUAUCGCCAAAGGAUUGGCCCGCGUUGGAUUAGGUAGUUGGUGGGGUAAUGGCCUACCAAGCCGACCGAUCCAUAGCUGGUUUGAGAGGAUGAUCAGCCACACUGGGACUGAGACACGGCCCAGACUCCUACGGGAGGCAGCAGUGGGGGAAUCUUAGACAAUGGGGGAACCUGAUCUGGCCAUGCCGCGUGAUCGAUGAAGGCCUUAGGGUUGUAAAGAUCUUCAGGUGGGAAGAUAAUGACUGUACCACCAGAAGAAGCCCCGGCUAACUCCGUG